GAGUUUGAUCCUGGCUCAGAUUGAACGCUGGCGGUAUGCUUAACACAUGCAAGUCGAACGCGAAAGAGUUCUUCGGAACUUGAGUAGAGUGGCGGACGGGUGAGUAAUAAAUAGGAAUCUGCCUAGUAGCGGGGGACAACGUGGUGAAAACCACGCUAAUACCGCAUACGCCCUACGGGGGAAAGCGGGGGAUCUUUGGACCUCGCGCUAUUAGAUGAGCCUGCGUUGGAUUAGCUAGUUGGUGAGGUAAUGGCUCACCAAGGCGACGAUCCUUAGCUGGUUUGAGAGAACGAUCAGCCACACUGGGACUGAGACACGGCCCAGACUCCUACGGGAGGCAGCAGUGGGGAAUAUUGGACAAUGGGCGCAACCCUGAUCCAGCAAUACCGCGUGUGUGAAGAAGGCCUGAGGGUUGUAAAGCACUUUCAAUUGUGAAGAAAAGCCUGAGGUUAAUAGCCUCGAGUCUUGACGUUAACUUUAGAAGAAGCACCGGCUAACUCUGUGCCAGCAGCCGCGGUAAUACAGAGGGUGCGAGCGUUAAUCGGAAUUACUGGGCGUAAAGCGUGCGUAGGCGGUAUUGUAAGUGGGAUGUGAAAGCCCCGGGCUCAACCUGGGAACUGCAUUCCAAACUGCAAAACUAGAGUAUGGUAGAGGGAAGUGGAAUUUCAGGUGUAGCGGUGAAAUGCGUAGAGAUCUGAAGGAACACCGGUGGCGAAGGCGACCAUCUGGCCAGAUACUGACGCUGAGGUGCGAAAGCAUGGGGAGCAAACAGGAUUAGAUACCCUGGUAGUCCACGCCGUAAACGAUGUCAACUAGCCGUUGGAGGGCUUUGUCCCUUUAGUGGCGCAGCUAACGCGAUAAGUUGACCGCCUGGGGAGUACGGCCGCAAGGUUAAAACUCAAAUGAAUUGACGGGGGCCCGCACAAGCGGUGGAGCAUGUGGUUUAAUUCGAUGCAACGCGAAGAACCUUACCAGGUCUUGACAUCCCGAGAAUUUGCUAGAGAUAGCUUAGUGCCUUCGGGAACUCGGUGACAGGUGCUGCAUGGCUGUCGUCAGCUCGUGUUGUGAGAUGUUUGGGUUAAGUCCCGAACGAGCGCAACCCUUGUCCUUAGUUGCCAGCACGUAAUGGUGGGAACUCUAAGGAGACUGCCGGUGACAAACCGGAGGAAGGUGGGGACGACGUCAAGUCAUCAUGGCCCUUACGACCUGGGCUACAUACGUGCUACAAUGGCCGGUACAGAGGGCAGCAAACCAGCGAUGGUAAGCGAAUCCCUUAAAACCGGUCGUAGUCCGGAUCGGAGUCUGCAACUCGACUCCGUGAAGUCGGAAUCGCUAGUAAUCGCGAAUCAGAAUGUCGCGGUGAAUACGUUCCCGGGCCUUGUACACACCGCCCGUCACACC
rnacentral:rRNA from 1 species